CCUACGGGUGGCUGCAGUGGGGAAUAUUGCACAAUGGGGGAAACCCUGAUGCAGCGACGCCGCGUGAGUGAAGAAGUAUCUCGGUACGUAAAGCUCUAUCAGCAGGGAAGAAAAUGACGGUACCUGACUAAGAAGCCCCGGCUAACUACGUGCCAGCAGCCGCGGUAAUACGUAGGGGGCAAGCGUUAUCCGGAUUUACUGGGUGUAAAGGGUGUGUAGGUGGCUUAUUAAGUUAGAGGUGAAAGCCCGAAGCUCAACUUCGGAACUGCCUUUAAAACUGGUUGGCUUGAGUGUGGGAGAGGUUAGUGGAACUCCUAGUGUAGCGGUGGAAUGCGUAGAUAUUAGGAAGAACAUCAGAGGCGAAGGCGACUAACUGGAACAUUACUGACACUGAAACACGAAAGCGUGGGGAGCAAACAGGAUUAGAUACCCCAGUAGUC
rnacentral:rRNA from 1 species